rnacentral:rRNA from 1 species
GCAAGUCGCACGAGAACUCUUCUGCUUGCAGAAGAUAGUAAAGUGGCGCACGGGUGAGUAACGCGUGGGUAAUCUACCCUCAAAUUCGGGAUAACUUCGCGAAAGCGGGGCUAAUACCGGAUAACAUUCUUUGUCCUUCGGUACAUUGGAUCAAAGGUGGCCUCUACAUGUAAGCUACUGUUUGGGGAUGAGCCCGCGUACCAUUAGCUUGUUGGUGAGGUAAAAGCUCACCAAGGCCGCGAUGGUUAGCUGGUCUGAGAGGAUGAUC